CUUCGAUUAAGGUUCGACUCGAGCGGAAGCGAGAGAACGUUGCCAACGGCAACGGCCCGAAGGGCGCGACGCGCCGAGUCAUCCUUCCCCCACCAUAA
rnacentral:sRNA from 1 species